AAAUGAUAUUUUAAUUACUAUAUAAAAAAAAAAAAAUUAAAUUAAAUUUUUUUUGGUUAGGUAAGAAACACGCAUUCACAAAUUGGGCUACCAUUUGAUGCAUGUGAAGUUGGGCUAAUGGGCCAUUGGUCAGCUGUCGUUUCUCAUUCCGUUUCCUUCCAAUUAAUUCCAUCCCCCUUUUCCCCACUCUUUUAAAAACAAACGCAAAGUUCAAAAUUUCAAGCGAACCGAAGUGUUGGGCUUCUCUGUCAUUACUCAAUUCGUUGUGGAUGUGGUUACAAGCAAAAAGGUUCAACUUUCACGCUCUCCUAUACGAUGAUCGAACACGAUAGGUGGAAUUCAUCGAAUAAAAUCAGUGACGGUGCAAUCUCCCAGAGCCUAUGGAUAUUGAUGAGAAGGAGCAUAUGGUCAGAAAUGCUGGCCGAAUGGGAAUUCCAUCUGUCCUCUGGCUAUGGCACAUGCCGCAUACCCAAAUGGAUUGAUGGCUUCAUUGAGCUCAGUGUAAAUUUUCUAGUUGCCAAAUGAAAGAGCAGAAAACAGGGAAGACUAGGAUUGUGUCUAAUGAUGGUGGAAGAAUGAAUGGAGGACCUAAAAGUGAUGGAGGGAGCACAAAUAAAGGCCCAGAAAAUAUUUUAGUUGGGAACAUCAUUUCUGGAUGGAGCAAAAUAUUGGGUGGAAAAAAUAAGGCUUAUUGCAGUGGUUGUAUUGUAAUCAAAGAAAGGACUUCGUUGCACGUGUUGCUCACGAGUAUGUGUUGGUUUUGGCGACAGUUGGUGUGCGGUAAGGUCCACCUUAGCUAUUCGGACGACGGACUUGGUCAUGUAUUCUAGUCCGGACUUUGGAUGGUUUUGUUUAAAAAAUUUUAUUCUUUUUUAACUUGAUCCAUGUAGAAUCCUAGUUGAAAAGUUAAGAUAUUUAUACAUAUUAUUGUUAAAUAUUUGCUUA